rnacentral:misc_RNA from 1 species
GAUGAAGAACGUAGCAAAAUGCGAUACUUGGUGUGAAUUGCAGAAUCCCGUGAACCAUCGAGUUUUUGAACGCAAGUUGCGCCCGAAGCCUUUUGGCCGAGGGCACGUCUGCCUGGGCGUCACGCAUCGCGUCGCCCCCCACAAUUCUCCGUAAAGGGAACGUGUGUUUUGGGGGCGGAUAUUGGUCUCCCGUGCUCAUGGCGUGGUUGGCCGAAAUAGGAGUCCUUUCGAUGGACGCACGAACUAGUGGUGGUCGUAAAAACCCUCGUCUUUUGUUUCGUGCUGUUGCUCGCAAGGUAAACUCUUUAAAAACCCCAAUGUGUCGUCUCUUGACGCCGCUUCGACCGCGACCCCAGGUCAGGCGGGACUACCCGCUGAGUUUAAGCAUAUCAAUAAGCGGAGGA